ACGUAGGGGGCGAGCGUUGUCCGGAUUUAUUGGGCGUAAAGGGCGUGUAGGCGGACUGUUAAGUCAGAGGUGAAAAUCCAGGGCUCAACCCUGGAACUGCCUCUGAAACUGGUGGACUUGAGUGCUCUAGAGGGCAGUGGAAUUCCCGGUGUAGCAGUGAAAUGCGUAGAGAUCGGGAGGAAUACCUAUGGCGAAAGCAGGCUACUGGACCAUCACUGACUCUGAUCUGCGAAAGCUAGGGGAGCAAACAGGA
rnacentral:rRNA from 1 species